rnacentral:rRNA from 1 species
AGAGUUUGAUCCUGGCUCAGGAUAAACGCUGGCGACGCACAUAAGACAUGCAAGUCGAACGAACGGAACUGGAAGUAACAUUUUCAGGGAAGUUAGUGGCGGACUGGUGAGUAACACGUAAGUAACCUGCCUAAUAGAGGGGAAUAACAGUGAGAAAUCAUUGCUAAUACCGCAUAAACUAUUUUGGUCACAUGAACAAGAUAGGAAAGGAGAAAUCCGCUAAUAGAUGGGCUUGCGCCUGAUUAGAUAGUUGGUGGGGUAACGGCCUACCAAGUCGACGAUCAGUAGCCGAACUGAGAGGUUGAACGGCCACAUUGGGACUGAGAUACGGCCCAGACUCCUACGGGAGGCAGCAGUCGGGAAUAUUGCACAAUGGAGGGAACUCUGAUGCAGUGACGCCGCGUGCAGGAAGAAGGUUUUCGGAUUGUAAACUGCUUUAGAUAGGGAAGAAGAAAAGACAGUACCUAUAGAAUAAGCUCCGGCUAACUACGUGCCAGCAGCCGCGGUAAUACGUAGGGAGCGAGCGUUAUCCGGAAUUAUUGGGUGUAAAGGGUGCGUAGACGGGAACUUAAGUUAGUUGUGAAAUCCCUUAGCUCAACUAAGGAAUGGCAACUGAAACUGGGUUUCUUGAGUGCAGGAGAGGAAAGUGGAAUUCCUAGUGUAGCGGUGGAAUGCGUAGAUAUUAGGAGGAACACCGGUGGCGAAGGCGACUUUCUGGACUGUAACUGACGUUGAGGCACGAAAGUGUGGGGAGCAAACAGGAUUAGAUACCCUGGUAGUCCACACUGUAAACGAUGGAUACUAGGUGUAGGGGGGAUUAAUCCUUCUGUGCCGUCGCAAACGCAAUAAGUAUCCCACCUGGGGAGUACGACCGCAAGGUUGAAACUCAAAGGAAUUGACGGGGGCCCGCACAAGCAGUGGAGUAUGUGGUUUAAUUCGAAGCAACGCGAAGAACCUUACCAGGGCUUGACAUGUAGAUGAAUACAUUAGAGAUAAUGUAGAUCUUCGGAACAUCUACACAGGUGGUGCAUGGUUGUCGUCAGCUCGUGUCGUGAGAUGUUGGGUUAAGUCCCGCAACGAGCGCAACCCCUGUUUCUAGUUGCCAGCACGUAAAGGUGGGAACUCUAGAGAGACUGCCGGUGAUAAAUCGGAGGAAGGUGGGGACGACGUCAAAUCAUCAUGCCCUUUAUGUCCUGGGCUACACACGUACUACAAUGGCUAUGACAAAGGGAAGCGAAACAGAGAUGUGAAGCGAAACUCAAAAAAGUAGUCUCAGUUCGGAUUGAAGGCUGAAAUUCGCCUUCAUGAAGCUGGAAUUGCUAGUAAUGGCAGGUCAGCAUACUGCCGUGAAUACGUUCCCGGGCCUUGUACACACCGCCCGUCACACCAUGAGAGUUGGGGAUACCCGAAGCCUGUGAGCUAACGAAAGAGGCAGCAGUCGAAGGUAGAAUCAAUGAUUGGGGUGAAGUCGUAACAAGGUAACC